rnacentral:rRNA from 1 species
AACGAACGCUGGCGGCAUGCCUAACACAUGCAAGUCGAACGAGACCUUCGGGUCUAGUGGCGCACGGGUGCGUAACGCGUGGGAAUCUGCCCUUGGGUUCGGAAUAACAGUUAGAAAUGACUGCUAAUACCGGAUAAUGUCUUCGGACCAAAGAUUUAUCGCCCAGGGAUGAGCCCGCGUAGGAUUAGCUAGUUGGUGAGGUAAAGGCUCACCAAGGCGACGAUCCUUAGCUGGUCUGAGAGGAUGAUCAGCCACACUGGGACUGAGACACGGCCCAGACUCCUACGGGAGGCAGCAGUGGGGAAUAUUGGACAAUGGGCGAAAGCCUGAUCCAGCAAUGCCGCGUGAGUGAUGAAGGCCUUAGGGUUGUAAAGCUCUUUUACCCGGGAUGAUAAUGACUGUACCGGGAGAAUAAGCCCCGGCUAACUCCGUGCCAGCAGCCGCGGUAA